UCGCCGCAAAUUCGCGCCUGGCGAAUAAAUUCGCCCAUCACUAAUGUCAGGCUGAUGAUAAGUAUAUGAAUUGGUGAGCUCUCAUACUGAUCUCAUACUGAUAAGCAUAGUGUCUGUGUGCAGUUUCUUCUCUAUCUAGAAAGAAAGCUGAUGUGAAAUUGAGCUAAUACAACAUACAAGCUAAAAGGAAACAUCAGAUUUUGAAAAUAUUUGGCACAACUGCAUUCUAAUUGCAACAAAGCACAGGCCCAGAUACAUUAGUAUUAGUAAAUUGGAUGCAACUGUGGGAGGUGCAACACAUUUGAAUCAGCAAGCAUUGUCCCCUUUGUGACUGCAAUGACACUAGAAUUUUGCUCCAAAUUGUGUUCAAGUGGCAACUCUGAAUUUCUUAAAAACAAUCUUUAUUUGUGUAUCCACAAAAGGUUUGCAGUUCCCAAUGGCCCAAUGAAUGCCUGACAUAUUUCUGUAUAACCUGGUGAGUCUUGAGUGGGUUGCCUACUAUUGUCACUUGUAUCCAAAGCUGCUCCUGUGUUUGACCACGUUGAAUCCAUAAAACUUCGCAUUAGGAAUCACUCUCAAGUGUGUGUAUUGACACAGGGGACCCUUAGAGACACAAGCUGAUAGUCGCUCCAGAGUUUCCAGAGUAUCAAUAAAUACAGUGGACCUUAGAAAUGAUGAUAUUCUUUGUGGCAUUGCAUCUGAUUUGGGUCAAAACUGAAGCACAAUUGCACUUACUUUAAUUGUGUCGCUGGAAUUGCUACUGGAAUUUAUGAAAAAAAACCACUCCAUUCUAGGUAAAAUAAAAUCUACUUGAGUCUAAAACUGCACUUUGUAUACUGUACUUCCAAAAGUAUGUUUUAUUCAUUUAAUUUUUAAUUAAUAAUUUAUCUCCAUCCAGUAGUUCUACAGGUAUUCUUAUAUGGAGCAUGGUUCUGCUACUUGUUGCAUUUGUUUAGGUGCAACGAACCAUCACCCACCCUUAAAAGUCAGUGAUGUGAGAGGGAUGUUGGUUGGUGUUUUGCAUAGAGACAUUGUGUGGCUAAACUGCAGCUGCUAUAAAAGUGCCAGUGUCCCUGUGCCAUAUUAAUGAUCUGUAUGUGUCACAGUGCAUAGAUAGAGACAUGUCUUAUCCCACUUAUCUACUGCUGCUGCUGCUACUGGGGAUCCUCCUGAUCUUCAUCCAGGGUUCCUAUGGGCAGAUUGUACUGACUCAGUCUCCAGAUUAUGUCUCUGUGUCACCAGGAGAAACUGUCACCCUCACAUGUAAAGCCAGUAGCAGUGUUAGCGGCUAUCUCAACUGGUACCAACAGAAAUCAGGGCAGGCACCAAAGCUGCUGAUCUAUGAUGCAAGCAACAGAUACACAGGGACCCCAGAGCGGAUCAGCGGCAGUGGGUCUGGAACAGAUUACUCUCUUACAAUCAGCAGAAUGGAAGCAGAAGAUGCAGCAGAUUAUUACUGUCAACAGGGUAGCAUCUUUACCUCUCACACAGUGAUACAGAGCUGAACAAAAACCUUCCUCUUUCAGCUUGAAUGCAGAUCAGACUAAAACAUGACUCAGGACUCACUGUACCAGAAGACUGUUAGCUUCAUACUCUGUA